AUGGAACUAGGUUAUGUCUUCAUGGAAGACCUCGCUAGAGCUGUGGCACAAUUCUACCCCUCUUCAUCUGGAGGAAUGUCUGGGGGGUUCAAUCAACCUCCUUCCCCAGAGGGGGCUCUGCCUGCAUUUCACGAAACCCAAGAUCAGCCUGGUCCUUCAGCUUCAGAAGGGGAGGGUCGGGCUGUCCGGGAUUUUAGCAGUGAAUUGCGUAAUAUUGAGUCAUUACGCGAAGAUAAGUCCCUAG